rnacentral:rRNA from 1 species
UACAGAGGUCUCAAGCGUUGUUCGGAUUUAUUGGGCGUAAAGGGCGCGUAGGCGGCGGGGUAAGUCGGGUGUGAAAUCUCAGGGCUCAACCCUGAAACUGCACUUGAUACUGCUCUGCUUGAGGACUGGAGAGGAGACUGGAAUUCACGGUGUAGCAGUGAAAUGCGUAGAUAUCGUGAGGAAGACCAGUGGCGAAGGCGGGUCUCUGGACUGGUAUUGACGCUGAGGUGCGAAAGCGUGGGGAGCAAACAGG